GCCACCUGCUGCCAUUUCCUCAUCAAGGAGUGGUGCAGCUGGGCCAAAAUCUUACAAACAACCUACAGCUCUUCCCCCUGUCCUGACCUUGCUCCCUGCCUUGCAGUGCUGGCUUCCAAAAGGAUUUGGGAAUCUUUAUGGGAAGUGAAUGCUUUUCUCGUGCUCAUUUGAGCUGUGAGUGGAAAUCUGCUGAGCUGUUGGGAAGAGAAGGGAUAAAGGAGCAAACUCUGGAGAAACACUGAGGCUGCUGCUGCUCUUCAACCCAGCCAAAAUAAAAACUGUGAAAUUCCCACAGUGCCUUCCCACGCUGUUCGAAGACGUGGAGCUUGUUCCAAGCCGGAAUUUGACUGACAUCCCUCUCCAAACACUGGAGCUCACUGGGUGAUUUUAUCUCCUCCACAGAGCAGAGAUUGCCUCGCUGAGGGUUUUCCAGCACACAAAAAGAAAGAAAGGAAGAGAACUUUUUAAUUAAACUUUUGAAGGGAACUACAGUACAAAGCUGUUCUUUAUAUUGCAGGAGAUAAAUCACUGCAAACAUUGGGAAGAGCCCAGACUUUGGUGUGUUGUGCCAGUGAAAUCACGUGUCAGGAACAAUCUGGGGUCCAAGUUUGGCUCCUGGUUGAAGGGGCCACCAAAUGAACUUGUUUGUCACUGCUUAUCAGGCUAAAGGACCAAGCCCAUGUGAUGCAGGACAUGUUUUGGUGAGGCUGGAUGGGGCCUGAAACAACUUGGCCUGUGUCUUGGGUUAUGUAAUCAAAAAAAGUGUGUUCUAUUUCAUCUGUUGAAACCGAUUGGGGAGAUGUUUUUUUCUUUAUCUCUUGUAACUCCAGAGGGGAGGAGGGUGGAUGCCUUCUGAUAACAGACCAGCUGUUAAAACCAGGUGGGGCAGUGUUUCUGAUCUCUUUCAUCAACUUUGUCUACCCUCUGGGGGAUAUCUUCUGUUAAUGGGCCAUUGAGGCUCACCAGUGACUGACACAUUACACCAUCCCAUUGGGAGAUGCUCCACCCAGUGAGGAGGAGCCAACCGUUCCUACCAAGAUAAAAACUGAGCUGUAGGAACCCCAAGCAGCCUCUUUUCCACUGGAUUCCUGGAGGAAGACAGGACCCAUCUCACCAUCACUGAACCCUUUUUCUACACGAUCAUCUCUACUCCACAGAACAACAUCUGUCACUCCAGGAGGAUUUAUUUGGACUGCUUCAAACACCCUGACCAACAGAGUGUCAGGUCAUAUCUUUGACUCUAUCAGGGUUUUCUAGGAUGUUUGUUUGUUUGUUGUACUCCUGCACUUGUAUUUUUAAUAUUCCUAGUAAAGAACUGU